GCACCCGUAGCUCAACUGGAUAGAGUACUUGGCUACGAACCAAGAGGUUCCAGGUUCGAGUCCUGGCGGGUGUA
rnacentral:tRNA from 1 species